rnacentral:misc_RNA from 1 species
GUUGAGGCAGAUUCAUCAAUGGUGCUAGAGAUGGUCGUUGAUUCACUGCAAGCGUUGUUUUGCAAAUUAACAUCAAGUUCCUUGAUGGGUGGGACGAUUUGGGAGGAAGAAGAGGGUUUCCUCUUCCUGUAAAUGCUGGAUUGUUCUCUAUGUUUUCUGGCCAUGAUCACAUGCCAAUGGUUCUUCACCGCAUUAUCAGUCCUGCCAGGAAACAGCCUAGCAAUCAUAGCCCAU